rnacentral:rRNA from 1 species
GACGAACGCUGGCGGCGUGCUUAACACAUGCAAGUCGAACGGAAAGGCCCUGCUUUUGUGGGAUGCUCGAGUGGCGAACGGGUGAGUAACACGUGAGUAACCUGCCCUUGACUUUGGGAUAACUUCAGGAAACUGGGGCUAAUACCGGAUAGGAGCUCCUGCUGCAUGGUGGGGGUUGGAAAGUUUCGGCGGUUGGGGAUGGACUCGCGGCUUAUCAGCUUGUUGGUGGGGUAGUGGCUUACCAAGGCUUUGACGGGUAGCCGGCCUGAGGGGGUGACCGGCCACAUUGGGACUGGGAUACGGCCCAGACUCCUACGGGGGGCAGCAGUGGGGAAUAUGGCACAAUGGGCGGAAGCCUGAUGCAGCAACGCCGCGUGCGGGAUGACGGCCUUCGGGUUGUAAACCGCUUUCGCCUGUGACGAAGCGUGAGUGACGGUAAUGGGUAAAGAAGCACCGGCUAACUACGUG